rnacentral:rRNA from 1 species
GACGAACGCUGGCGGCGUGCCUAAUACAUGCAAGUAGAACGCUGAAGAGAGGAGCUUGCUCUUCUUGGAUGAGUUGCGAACGGGUGAGUAACGCGUAGGUAACCUGCCUUGUAGCGGGGGAUAACUAUUGGAAACGAUAGCUAAUACCGCAUAACAAUGGAUGACACAUGUCAUUUAUUUGAAAGGGGCAAUUGCUCCACUACAAGAUGGACCUGCGUUGUAUUAGCUAGUAGGUGAGGUAACGGCUCACCUAGGCGACGAUACAUAGCCGACCUGAGAGGGUGCUCGGCCACACUGGGACUGUGACACGGCCCAGACUGCUGCGGGGGGCAGCAGUAGGGCAUCUUGGGCGAUGGGGGCAACCCUGACCGAGCAACGCCGCGUGAGUGAAGAAGGUUUUCGGAUCGUAAAGCUCUGUUGUUAGUCAAGAACGAGUGUGAGAGUGGAAAGUCCACACUGUGACGGUAGCUUACCAGAAAGGGACGGCCAACUACGUG